rnacentral:sRNA from 1 species
UUCUUUUUGGCUCAAACUGAGCAGGGAGAUAUCUUUAAGAUCACUUUGGAGACAGAUGAAGAUAUGGUUACUGAGAUCCGGCUCAAGUAUUUUGAUACUGUACCCGUUGCUGCUGCCAUGUGUGUGCUUAAAACAGGGUUCCUUUUUGUAGCAUCAGAAUUUGGAAACCAUUACUUAUAUCAAAUUGCACAUCUUGGAGAUGAUGAUGAAGAACCUGAGUUUUCAUCAGCCAUGCCUCUGGAAGAAGGAGACACAUUCUUUUUUCAGCCAAGACCACUUAAAAACCUUGUGCUGGUUGAUGAGUUGGACAGCCUCUCUCCCAUUCUGUUUUGCCAGAUAGCUGAUCUGGCCAAUGAAGAUACUCCACAGUUGUAUGUGGCCUGUGGUAGGGGACCCCGAUCAUCUCUGAGAGUCCUAAGACAUGGACUUGAGGUGUCAGAAAUGGCUGUUUCUGAGCUACCCGGUAACCCCAACGCUGUCUGGACAGUGCGUCGACACAUUGAAGGUAAGCAGCUCUUUGCCAAUGUCAAAAUGAGGGUCUGGGUGCCAUUGACAUAGAAGGCUUAAAAGACUG